rnacentral:lncRNA from 1 species
GCAGGGGAAGAUGAGGUAUGGCAUCAAAUUUUAAUCCCUUUAGAUAUUUUAACUUAACCUUUUGAGCAGCAGUCAUGAAAGAAGAGCACAAUGCGAAAACAGUUUCAGUUGCACCAGGGAUGAUUGUGCUCAUCUCCUUUCAUUUCUUCUUUAGUUUUGAAUCUUGUAUAACUAAAAAAUAAACCUAAAUAACAGAAUAUGCUAAGAUACACAUGACCUGGCA